AUGCGGCCGCAGAUGCUGAUCAUCUCCCGCGGGGGCACGCGGAAGCUGCUGAACCUGGAGGAGGUGGCGGCGGCGGCGACCGAGCUCGGGUUCAACGUGACGGUGGCGGAGGCGGGGGCGGACGUGGCGGCGUUCGCGGCGCUGGUGAACGCGGCGGACGUGCUGCUGGCGGUGCACGGGGCCGGGCUGACGAACCAGAUCAUCCAGCCGACGCAGGCGGUGGUGCUGCAGAUCGUGCCAUGGGGGAACAUGGACUGGAUGGCCACCAACUUCUACGGGCAGCCGGCGCGGGACAUGCAGCUCCGCGACCCCAAGGCGCUGCACAAGCAGGGGUGGCAGGCGCUCGCCGAGACCAUCAUGAAGCAGGACGUGAAGGUGAACCUCACAGGUUCCGCCCCAUCCUGCUCCAGGUCAUCGACAAGCUGCAGGAGUAGCGGCGGCGGCGCCGUCGUCUCCUUUGUCAUCCCCAGCUCAUACAUACACAUGAAAAACUCAUACGUACAAACCUAG
rnacentral:rRNA from 1 species